UGCUGUGUAGCUCAGUGGUAGAACACUUGCCUAACACACACAAGGCUCUGGGUUCCAUCCCCAGUGCUGCAA
rnacentral:tRNA from 1 species